rnacentral:rRNA from 1 species
AAUGAACGCUGGCGGCAGGCCUAACACAUGCAAGUCGAGCGGAGCGGCGGACGGGCGAGUAAUGCCUAGGAAUCUGCCUGGUCGUGGGGGAUAACGUCCGGAAACGGGCGCUAAUACCGUAUACUAUCAGAUGAGACUAGGUCGGAUUAGCGAGUUGGUGGGGUAAAGGCCUACCAAGGCGACGAUCCGUAGCUGGUCUGAGAGGAUGAUCAGUCAAACUGGAACUGAGAAACGGUCCAGACUCCUACGGGAGGCAGCAGUAGGGAAUAUUGGGCAAUGGGCGAAAGCCUGAUCCAGCAAUGCCGCGUGUGUGAAGAAGGUCUUCGGAUUGUAAAGCACUGUUAUUAGGGAGGCGUUACCAACAGAAUAAGCACCGGCUAACUACGUGCCAGCAGCCGCGGUAAUUC